rnacentral:lncRNA from 1 species
ACCGGUGUUAUAUAGCCAUUCUUCCCCCAUGCCAGUUUUUCCCCCGGGGGAAAGACUGGCAUGAGCCAAUAUUUCCCCCGUGGAAAUUUUGGAUCAUUGCCAUUCUUCCCCGCGGAAAUUUGACAAUACGUAUACAUAUAGUCACUUUUCCCCCAUGCCAAUCUUUCCCCCUAUAUUAUAGAUAUCACUGUAUAUAUAUACACGUCUGAAAAUUAAACCGAACAGUGUUAGAAAUAGGUUUAUAGAUACAAAUUUUUAGUUCUUUUACAUUAACAAAAGUCUGUCUACAGGUUUAUCAGUCUGUCUAUGUUUCAACUAUAAAUCUGUCUUUCUUUGUGUCCCCUAGUCUUUCUACAUUCUCAACUACAUGUCUGUCUUUAUGUCGACAAGUAUGUCUACAUAUUCACCCGUCUGUUCACAUGUUUACCAGUCUGUCUACAUAUUCACCCGUCUAUUCACAUGUUUACCAGUCUGUCUAUGCUCACUAGUCCGUCUAUAUGUUCACUAGCUUCGAAAUAGGUUUCAGUAACUGCGAGUACUUUUAUUUCGGUGCUUUGUUUCUAUUGUUUUUAUGUAAGUGAUUAUUGUGCAACGUAUCAACAUUUUUAGUGAAGCCAAUUGCAACUGAUACUUUUUUUCUUGCGGCGUGCUGUCCUAGGUUGGGUUCAAUGGGGAGUUUAUGGCCACCUUGUUUAUGUACCAAUGCCCAUUCCAAAGUCAGGAACAUGUAAUACCGGGUUCAGUGGUUGUUGUUGGUUCAUGUCGUUUGUGUAUGUUUUUUUUGUAAAUUAUUUUGUAAUCAAUAAGCCUGUUAGUUUUGUUUGUUUUGUUCCCUAAUUUGUAUGGUCGGAGCAUUUUAUAGCCGACUAUAUAUGUUUUUUCCCUCACUUUUGGAGGCCGUACGGUGGCCUUUUAUUACUUACUACCAGGUCUGUGUAACUCCGGUGGAUAUUUGUAUCAUAAGUGCUAUAUCGUGGUCGACCCUAUAUAUACACCUUUAGGGCAGGUGGAAUAUUUUUGUAGAUCUUGUACAGCGAGUCACAAUAAUGGAGGUAAUUCCUGUACUUCCACGUUUCCACUGCACGUCUCCCAUGCUGGUUGGAGAGGGGGAACAUAUCUCCCCUAGGUUUGAUUAAAUUUCACCCUUAUCGGACUUCUUCUUCUGAAUGAAAGCUUUAAGGCGAUGAGUAUUUUUCUCAAUCCAUGCCUUUGAUGGGUACUUUUACCUUGUGGUACAAAAAUUAUUUAUCAUGUAAAGUCAAAAUCGUGGUUUAAGUAGUUGUAUUCAUUAGGUCAAUGAUACCAAGGGGUCACGAAUGAGAAUGGAUGUGAUCACUGCAUCAGAAUGUGCUUCGUUUGUAUAAAUAUAACUUGUAUGUAUACAUGGUAUAUAUAAAUACUUAUCAAUUUAUAUUAAUACGGUGAAGCUUUGGUACCGCUAAACUAAUCAAAAAGUUAAUAUUCUUUUUUUAGGAUAAAAAUUUCUAGCCGACGUUAUAAAUUUAUAAAGGGGGAAAAACUAGCUCAUCAUGCCGCAAAGGGGAAAAAUUGGCCUGAUCCUCGUUUUCCCCCUAUAACGUUGAGGGGGGAAAGUUGGAUCAUGCCAAUUUUUCCGGGAGGAAAUAUUGGAUCGAUCCAGUUUUUCCCCCCGGAAAAAUUGGCAUGGGGGAAGAAUGGCUAUAGGACACCGGU